rnacentral:misc_RNA from 1 species
AGUACAAUACACAUUUAUAUCUGAAACGGAAAGGAUAAUUUCCUGAAUCUAACAAAAUCUCAUAUGGAAUUCACGCUUCUGGAAAAUCAUUAGAGCAAAAAUUAACAGUAAAAAAUUAUUCGUACAAAUAAUGCACAAGAAAACAUUCCUCAUUUUAAUGUGGCCGCCAACUUAGAUUUCUGCUUUCCAACUUCUACAUGUUUGUGAAGGCGUCCUGGCCUAGAAAUCCUGUGAAUACGAGACCUAGGUCCAUCAAACAUCCAGCUAUCUUCGUCUAGGGAUUUAACCUCUUUGUUCAGUGAAGCCAUCAGAUCAGAUUUGAGAACUUGAAGAGCCUCAUCUUUGCGGUCUUGAACGGAGAUGAGAUCAACUGGAAAAUUGAAGUCAUCAACAGCUGUAGACGAUGGCGGCCCGACAUUUCCUCCGAUCAUCGCCAUUGUCGAACUCGAUGACCUCGCCGGUGACGACGUCAGCGAACUUCCAGUGCUCAUUUUCCCUCCUUUCGCCUGAAAAUUCAGAUUUGUGAGUCCCCA